AAAAUUGGCCGUUUUCCUAUUAGCAUAUGAGGAACCUAAGAAUGUUCCUUGUUGUCAAGGCAACAGCUGUUCCUUGGGUAGCUGCAACAGAAAAGAAGCCAGAGCAAUCUUCAUAGGAUCAAGUUUUUUAUCAUCAAAUCGUAGAAAGGAACCUUGAGAAUCUAGCCUAUUCUCCUGCCUUUAGUUAAGGCCCACUAAAAUAAUGUGAAACCAAUAUGAAAAGAGAAAGUCCUAUUUUAAAUACGUCUAAAAGAACUUACAUAGCUUUCUUUGAUUGAUUAUUUGUAGUUGUAUAGUGUGUAUUGCAAAUAAAUUUUUUCAAUAAUUCUAACUUAAGUCUUUCACACUAUCUCUUGAAAUUCACUUCCUACAGGUCCAUUCUCAGUAAGGCUAAACACCGGUACCCCGAAAGAACAGGACACAUGCAGCUGUCAAUCUGUCUACUCAGGCUCUGACUCCAACCUCAGAAAAUGCUUCAAUUCAAUGAAACUAAAGGCACUUUGGUCUCUGGAAUUAGAUCCUGUUAUCAAUGACUUCCACAUGGAAAGAUCAUUCCAAAAUGUGUAAUUAACCAAGAAAAUGCAAAUAAACCAAUUUGUACCUGCUAUUUAGAGAAUCUACAGUUGAAGUUGAUUUGCAACAAUGUUUUAACACCACACCAUUGAAGGAGCAGUGCCUCAUCAAUGAUUUUUUUGCUCAGCCUUUCAAGACCUCAUCACCUGAUACAUCCUAGGAAAAUUGUAAUCAUAACUAAGCAAAAGAAAAUACUUAACAAGAAUUCAUCUUAGGUGAUUGGGAACUUUGGACUUCAAAACCCUCUGAAAAUAAAAGCUUUUCACCUGUCCUUAAGCUAAGAGGUCAAGUAUUCAUUGACCAAUAAAGACCACUGCCCCCAUCAACUAGAAAACACCCUUUGAAAUCCAAUUAACUCUUGUACAAGAGAGCCUUCAUUUUCCAUUUUAUCAGAAAGUUAAAUUUGCCAUUCUAUACUCCAAUAAAGUUAAGUUGUUUAGAUCUGAUAAUUCUAAGAUGUUCUGUAUGUAUCUUAAUUUGUAAG